UUUUUAUAGAAAUUGUUAAAAUGAAGGCAAUAUUAGUAAUGUUAAUAAUUUCAUUAUUGUGUAAAGUGCAAGCUUCUGAAGAAAGUAAGAGAAGAAAUGAGGUGGAACCUAGAGGGAAGGCCAAAUAUGCUUUAAUAACCAACCUCGCCAUAGUUUUAGCAGCGAAAGUUGGACUGUAUAACCUGAUUGUGGCCAUAGCUCUAACAGUAGCUAGCGUGAAAAUACUCCUCAUUAUGGUAUGGGCAUUGACCAUAUACAAACAUGUGCCAGACCCGUACUUGCAUUAUAAGAGGACUGAGAACUAUUCACCUUAUCAAGAUCAGUUUGCUCAUCAUAGGGAGGGUUAUCAAGCCUUAGAUUUGAUUGCUGACUUUAUCAAGAAACGGCAGGGACGGUAGAUUUUAUUAGUCCACUUCUUCUACGUAGUAGCAACGAAACUAAUCGUCCUAAAGAUGGUAUACGGAGCCCUAUUCUACGUCCUCGUCACAAAGGGAUGGCAAUUCGUCCUCUGGUUCAUCCACUACUUGAAGAAACACAAACACGAC